GACGUGACAAGCUGGAUGUCCAUAGGGCGGCCAUCCAAAGGGACGCCCUUGUACUGCUUCAUAGCCUUCAGGGCAUCUGCCCUCCGUUCAAAGUGUACAUCCGCCGUCCCUAAACUUCGUCCAGAGCGAUCGUAGUCCACAGCGGCUUUUUUCAACGUUCCAAAUUCAGCAAAGAGUUCCUGAAUGUCAGCAUCUGACACCCCGAAGUCCAGGUUUGACACGAGCAGCUUGGCACCGGUCUCCACGCCUUCCCCACCCCCGCAGCCGCUGUCGAAUAGGUCGUGCUGCCACUUGUCCGGAAGUGGUUUCGGUCUACUGUACGGUGCCGGCCGGUUCCUGCCGCCGCGGGCGAUGGCGGGCCGGUUCCUCCUAGGCCCGCCGCCUCGAUUCACCCGGCGCUGGUUACGGUUCAGCUUAAUGAUGUCGUCCAAAGACAUGUCCAUCUUGUCGGCCAUGGCGGGCGCGGAUCCGGGCCUGACUGGCCCGGCCCUCGCGGUGCAGACCAGAAAGUACUCAAAUUCAAUGAUUCCCCCGCCUUGACUCCGCCUCUCCGACCGGUGCUGGAAUCACAAGCGCACCAAAAUCACACUUGGAAAUUGGAAGUCUGUGCGCUUGUGAAUCUGGCUUUCGCUCUGACCCCUGGUGGCCGCCCAGCGCCUAGAGACAUCUGGGACAAAUUCGAGGCACUUCCGGAAACCGAGCGGGCCACGCGGCUUCUCCGCGAUAUUUGCAUACCCACAAUGCAGUGCACACAGAUGGUUGUAUAAUUUAAAAGGGUAGCGUGUUGUUUUCGUUGUUCUGUUUUAUUCCUUUUAUUCCUUAAUGUGAUAGAACCUUCAAAGAUUUAUCUGAUAUAAUAAAGUAGUCAGUGUCUUUAGGAGUAAAUAGUCACCAUUAGUUGUCUAGGAAAUACAGUCGGCCGAGAACUGUACACUAGGACAGCUGGGUAUACUCUGGUUUCUCUUCAGAUCGUAUAAAUCUUUCGCCUUUUACUAAAGAUUUCCGUGGAGAGGAACAAUUCUGAGUCUUACACUAAUUUUUUGAGGCCUUGCUUUAGCAAGGCUAUUAAUAAUGUUUAAAGUUAGAAUUAACAGUCUUUAUUGUGUGCUCUAUGUAUUUUUUUGUCUUCAGUGUUAACCAAAGUUAGAAUUAACAGUCUUUAUUGUGUGCUCUAUGUAUUUUCUUGUCUUCAGUGUUAACCACUGUAAGGUAAAAAUGGCUUGAGCUUAGGCUAAAGAGACAGCUCAUUGGUUAAAAGGGCUCAGUCGCAUGGCGUUGUGUCUCAUAACCGAUAAAGUAAAUAAGCCUUUAAAAGC
rnacentral:lncRNA from 1 species